rnacentral:rRNA from 1 species
GACGAACGCUGGCGGCGUGCUUAACACAUGCAAGUCGAACGGAAAGGCCCUGCUUUUGUGGGGUGCUCGAGUGGCGAACGGGUUAGUAACACGUGAGUAACCUGCCCUUGACUUUGGGAUAACUUCAGGAAACUGGGGCUAAUACCGGAUAGGAACUCCUGCUGCAUGGUGGGGGUUGGAAAGUUUCGGCGGUUGGGGAUGGACUCUCGGCUUAUCAGCUUGUUGGUGGGGUAGUGGCUUACCAAGGCUUUGACGGGUAGCCGGCCUGAGCGGGUGACCGGCCACAUUGGGACUGAGAUACGGCCCAGAAUCCUAAGGGAGGAAGCAGUGGGGAAUAUUGCACAAUGGGAGGAAGACUGAUGCAGCAACGCCGCGUGCGGGAUGACGGCCUUCGGGUUGUAAACCGCUUUCGCCUGUGACGAAGCGUGAGUGACGGUAAUGGGUAAAGAAGCACCGGCUAACUACGUG